GGCUGAAAUUCGCCUUCAUGAAGCCGGAAUUGCUAGUAAUGGCAGGUCAGCAUACUGCCGUGAAUACGUUCCCGGGCCUUGUACACACCGCCCGUCACACCAUGAGAGUUGGGGAUACCCGAAGCCUGUGAGCUAACUUUUAGAGGCAGCAGUCGAAGGUAGAAUCAAUGACUGGGGUGAAGUCGUAACAAGGUACC
rnacentral:rRNA from 1 species